rnacentral:tRNA from 1 species
GCCCUCGUAGCUCAAUAGUAGAGCAGCACGUUGGUAUCGUGCCGACAGCGGUUCGAUCCCGCUCGGGGGCUCCA